rnacentral:lncRNA from 1 species
ACAGCAUCUAGGAGCCUAGUUCUGACGUUGGAGUGCCUCAGCUGGCAAAGUGCACAGUUCAGAUUUGGGGGAAAACAAGAAAAUACAGAAAUACAGAAUGGAGCCCUUCUUUAUUUCACCCUUCUAGUACUUUCCUAUUUUCCUGGAAGCCUUUUGGCCAGGGAGGGUGUCUCUGGCUUUCCCUCUGAGAGAGGGCAGAGAACGCAGAGCAGUCAGGGCCCAGCCCUGAGAAAGAGCCUCUGAGAAGACAAGGGAGUGUGGCAGGCCUGGUGGCUGCGUGUGGCAGGCUUGCUGAAAGGAGCCGACCUGUUGACGCAGUGGGUUUUCCAAGAGCGGCUGCGAAUCCAGUGACGCACCGACACGAGUUGUUACCAAGACAACCAGCACAGCCGGUCGGGAGGAGUGAGAUGCAACAAUUCCAGCUAUAUUUCUUUCCGAUUUCAAAAUACAGG